UCUCUUUCCAAAGCAAUUUAUUUCGUCGAAAUCCAACAUCGGAGUAAAAAGUUAUACCCAAUUUACUUCAGCAUGUCAGUCUGUCAAACCGAGGGACUGCUGCGGCAUUUUUUAUUUCCUCAGGGGUAUUUUGGUAUUUUUCAUCCCAAAAUUCUUCCACGCGAUUUAAAUCAUCCAAAACACUCUAUAAUCCAUUUCUUUUAUCAGUUUUAAUCUCUCAAUUCCUCUCCUCUCGCAAAAGUAAAAUGGAAACUAAGCUUUCUUUCAAGAUCAAGAAUCAAUCUCGUAAGUCCAAGAUUUUCAAGAAAUCAAGAUUCGAGUUCUACUCUUCAAACCUUGUAAUCUAAGGAUCUGAGGCACAGUCUCGGGGUCCAGUUUAGCAAUAGGUUUGAGUGCGUCGAAAGUUGCAAUUGUUUCUCUUUGUAAAUGAAUGGUGUAUAUGGUUGCAAGUCAGAAGGGCUCUCGGGCCUUCAUGAUUUGGGAUCCCCAUCACGGCUAGGGCCUUGUUUCGGGUCGUGACAAACUUGGUAUCAGAGCACGGUUCAUGGUCCCAGGGUGU